rnacentral:tRNA from 1 species
UCCCUUAUGGCUCAGAUGGUAAAGAAUCUGCUUGCAAUGCAGGAGACCUAGGUUUGAUCCCUGGGUUGGGAA